rnacentral:rRNA from 1 species
GACGAACGCUGGCGGCGUGCCUAAUACAUGCAAGUAGAACGCUGAAGGAGGAGCUUGCUCUUCUGGAUGUGUUGCGAACGGGUGAGUAACGCGUAGGUAACCUGCCUGGUAGCGGGGGAUAACUAUUGGAAACGAUAGCUAAUACCGCAUAACAGUAGAUGUUGCAUGACAUUUGCUUAAAAGGUGCAAUUGCACCACUACCAGAUGGACCUGCGUUGUAUUAGCUAGUUGGUGGGGUAACGGCUCACCAAGGCGACGAUACAUAGCCGACCUGAGAGGGUGAUCGGCCACACUGGGACUGAGACACGGCCCAGACUCCUACGGGAGGCAGCAGUAGGGAAUCUUCGGCAAUGGACGGAAGUCUGACCGAGCAACGCCGCGUGAGUGAAGAAGGUUUUCGGAUCGUAAAGCUCUGUUGUAAGAGAAGAACGAGUGUGAGAGUGGAAAGUUCACACUGUGACGGUAUCUUACCAGAAAGGGACGGCUAACUACGUG